rnacentral:hammerhead_ribozyme from 1 species
AUCCAGCUGACGAGUCCCAAAUAAAACGAAACUCACGUCUUGAAU